UACGAAGGGGGCUAGCGUUGCUCGGAAUCACUGGGCGUAAAGGGCGCGUAGGCGGAUCUUUAAGUCAGGGGUGAAAUCCUGGAGCUCAACUCCAGAACUGCCUUUGAUACUGAGGACCUUGAGUUCGGGAGAGGUGAGUGGAACUGCGAGUGUAGAGGUGAAAUUCGUAGAUAUUCGCAAGAACACCAGUGGCGAAGGCGGCUCACUGGCCCGAUACUGACGCUGAGGUGCGAAAGCGUGGGGAGCAAACAGG
rnacentral:rRNA from 1 species